rnacentral:rRNA from 1 species
UACGUAGGGUGCAAGCGUUAAUCGGAAUUACUGGGCGUAAAGCGUGCGCAGGCGGCUCAUUUUGUCAGGCGUGAAAGCCCCGGGCUUAACCUGGGAACUGCGUUUGAUACGGAUGGGCUAGAGUUCGGGAGAGGAGAGUGGAAUUCCCAGUGUAGAGGUGAAAUUCGUAGAUAUUGGGAAGAACACCGGUGGCGAAGGCGGCUCUCUGGGCCGAUACUGACGCUGAGGAGCGAAAGCGUGGGGAGCGAACAGG